GGCUUUGUAGUACAAUGGAUAGUGCGUGAGCUUCCGACGCUCAAAAUCUAGGUUCGAUUCCUAGCAAAGCCA
rnacentral:tRNA from 1 species